rnacentral:rRNA from 1 species
AUGGAGCACCUCGUCUCUCUCCUGCUGCAGGGAGGCCCAGCUACUGCACUGUGGAGGUCGCGGCCUCUUCCUUCUGUAGGUCACCGCCUCCUGCUUCUGCAGGCCGUGCCCCAUCCCCCGAUUCCCGCAGCAGACAGGCCGUUCACCGCCGGCACCACAGUCCCUUCACUGCCGACAACCGAGGCCGUUCAACGGCGCAACGACGAGUAUGAGAAGAUUUGUAGAUGCACAACAGAGUUUGCAGACUGCCAUGUUAAACAAUGUCAACAGGCAACAAGCAGCAAGGGAAAAAGAAGAGCAAGAUUGACAUCAGUAGUCAAAAAUAAUAGAACAUCAGUUCUAAAAUUCCCCGCGCAUCAGUACACCUAUUUCUGGUUCUCUAGAUUGGUCUUGGUACAGGAUACAUCUUAA